AAAGAAGGGCCAGCUGAUGUUUGUGUCAUUAAAUUGGGUGGAACUAUAGGGGAUAUUGAGUCCAUGCCUUUUAUUGAAGCACUGCUGGAACCGUAUUUAUGCAGUUUAAUUUGUUAAUUUCAUGGUUUUGAUGGUUUUCUUUUUUUCUUUUUUCUGUUAAAAUUGAAUUUCAUACUUUUGCAUUUUAAGUGGUUUAAGUUCAUGCAAUAUCCUAAUCCUUUUCCUUUAUCAUUUACAGUGUUGCAGCAGAGCCUAAUUUGAAGGAGUCGACUGCAAGGAAAAAAAUUUAUGACAAAUGUGAUGAAACUGUUAGAAUUGCAAUGGUGGGAAAAUACACAGGCCUUUUAGAUGCAUAUCUUUUUGUUCUGAAGGUAACUUACUCCUAAAUUAGUAACUGAACCCUUCUAUUUUUUACAUAAUAAUUUCCUCUUUUUGGAUUCUCUACAACUUCUUUUUUAUUCAAUAUGCAUACUGAAACAUAAAGAGGUGAUUACUGAUCUAUCUACUGCAUUACUUAUGUUAGUUGACCUUUUGGUUUUGGUUUUGCUUUUAUGCAACCCUCUGACGAUUGAUUAAAAUAUAUUGCUGCAGGAUCCUAAGGCAUAUA
rnacentral:sRNA from 1 species